AGAGUUUGAUCCUGGCUCAGAUUGAACGCUGGCGGAAUGCUUUACACAUGCAAGUCGAACGGCAGCACGGGGGCAACCCUGGUGGCGAGUGGCGAACGGGUGAGUAAUACAUCGGAACGUGCCCAGUCGUGGGGGAUAACGCAGCGAAAGCUGUGCUAAUACCGCAUACGAUCUACGGAUGAAAGCGGGGGACCGUAAGGCCUCGCGCGAUUGGAGCGGCCGAUGGCAGAUUAGGUAGUUGGUGGGGUAAAGGCUCACCAAGCCUGCGAUCUGUAGCUGGUCUGAGAGGACGACCAGCCACACUGGGACUGAGACACGGCCCAGACUCCUACGGGAGGCAGCAGUGGGGAAUUUUGGACAAUGGGCGCAAGCCUGAUCCAGCCAUUCCGCGUGCAGGAUGAAGGCCUUCGGGUUGUAAACUGCUUUUGUACGGAACGAAAAGGCUCUGGUUAAUACCUGGGGCUCAUGACGGUCCGUAAGAAUAAGCACCGGCUAACUACGUGCCAGCAGCCGCGGUAAUACCGUAGGGUGCGAGCGUUAAUCGGAAUUACUGGGCGUNAAGCGUGCGCAGGCGGUGAUGUAAGACANAUGUGAAAUCCCGGGCUCAACCUGGGAACUGCAUUUGUGACUGCAUCCUUGGANUGCCGCAUAAGGGGGAUGGAAUNCCCGUUUAAGCAGUGAAAUGCGUA
rnacentral:rRNA from 1 species